GACGAACGCUGGCGGCGUGCUUAACACAUGCAGGUCGAACGGAAAGGCCCUGCUUUUGUGGGGUGCUCGAGUGGCGAACGGGUGAGUAACACGUGAGUAACCUGCCCUUGACUUUGGGAUAACUUCAGGAAACUGGGGCUAAUACCGGAUAGGAGCUCCUGCUGCAUGGUGGGGGUUGGAUAGUUUCGGCGGUUGGGGAUGGACUCGCGGCUUAUCAGCUUGUUGGUGGGGUAGUGGCUUACCAAGGCUUUGACGGGUAGCCGGCCUGAGAGGGUGAACGGCCACAUUGGGACUGAGAUACGGCCCAGACUCCUACGGGAGGCAGCAGUGGGGAAUAUUGCACAGUGGGCGGGAGCCUGAUGCAGCAACGCCGCGUGCGGGAUGACGGCCUGCGGGUUGUGAACCGCUGUCGCCUGUGACGAAGCGUGAGUGACGGUAAUGGGUGAAGAAGCACCGGCUAACUACGUG
rnacentral:rRNA from 1 species